GUCAAGGUCAAAAACUUUGGUUUCAGUUGACAACCCUGUGUCCUGUGGUGAAGAUCGUCUCCGCUCCAUAUCUAGAUAACCGUUAUGAUUUCAAAGUUUAUACUUGACAUCUAUUUUAACCACCACCAGAGGGUGUGUCAUGAUGUAUGUACAACUUCCUAGGUCAAAGGUCAAGGUCAAAAAAAACUUUGGUUUCAGUUGACAACCCUGUGUCCUGUGGUGAAGAUCGUGUCCGCUCUAUAUCUUGAGAACCGUUAUGAUUUCAAAUAUUAUACUUGACAUCCAUUUUAACAAACACCAGAGGGUGUGUCAUGAUGUAUGUACAACUUCCUAGGUCAAAGGUCUGUCUGUCUGUUGGUCUGUCCAUCGCUAACAAAUUUGAUCAACUUAUUUACCCCACGUUAUUGACAGCGGGGCCCACAGAGAUGGCUCCCAUCUCAAUGGUAUCUAGUU
rnacentral:lncRNA from 1 species